rnacentral:rRNA from 1 species
UGCCAGCAGCCGCGGUAAUACGAAGGGACCUAGCGUAGUUCGGAAUUACUGGGCUUAAAGAGUUCGUAGGUGGUUGAAAAAGUUAGUGGUGAAAUCCCAGAGCUUAACUCUGGAACUGCCAUUAAAACUUUUCAGCUGGAGUAUGAUAGAGGAAAGCAGAAUUUCUAGUGUAGAGGUGAAAUUCGUAGAUAUUAGGAGGAACACCAGUGGCGAAGGCGACUCUCUGGGCCAAUACUGACGCUGAGGUUCGAAAGUGUGGGGAGCAAACAGGAUUAGAUA